GGGGAACCAAAGGAGCCGAGAGCUCCGGCCGGGUGUGGGGUGCAGCUUUCUCUGCAGUAACCCUCGGCCUUUCUGGGUGUGGAGGAGAGCGCCCGUGGGGUGUCAGAGCGCCUGACAGACGCGCCGCGGUUGGAGGCACUUGUGGUUGGAGCUCGGAGAUCCUCACGUCCCUUCCAGCCCAGGCCGUGCUGCGAUUCUGUGCAGAGACCUCUGAGAUCGCCGGGUCCAACCCUCCCCGCCAGGCCGUGCGCACACUGCGCUGCAGGAGGCGGGCUGCCUCCCGAGGUCCUCCGGAGUCAAACGCUGGCCGUGCUCUCCAAACACGUCUGCUGUCAGAGGGGUGUUGUGGGGGUGUCCCUGCUGUCAGAGGGGCGUUUGGUGGUGUCCCUGCUGUUGGAAGGGUGUUUUGGGGCUGUCCCUGCUGCUGGAGGAGCGUUUGGGGGUGUCCCUGCUGCUGGGAUCGCAUGGGCUCCAGCCCAGCAGGAGCAGCCCGUGGUGCAGAGGGCGCCGCGCCGGGCACGGCUCCUGCCAGCUGCCGGAUGGGGUCAGCAGCUGACACGAAGCGCCACGAAAUGCCACCCGUCCCGUUGCUGUGCAUUCUUCCCUCCCCGCCCCGGCUUUGCGCUGCGCCGCCCUCCCCGUUCAGCAUCACGGCGGUGUGGUGCUCCCCUGCUUUGCCCCCCCGCCGCCCCCCCUCCGCGCUGGGAGACCGGCGCGGUGUUGGCACUUCCCCGCACCCUUCCUACUGUCUUGGAGGUGUUGGGGCGCAGAUGUGCGCUCGGCGCUGCUCCCGGCAGCCGGCUGCGGGGCUGCUCGGCGGCGUAGGGGUGGACGAAGCCAGAGGAGUUGUGCUGAUGUUUCCCAUUUCCCCCCGGAAGCGCCGUCCCCCUCCGGUUCGCUCCGGGCUGCUCCCGUCGGGUCCUGGAGGUGAGCCGUGAGCUGAGGGCCGGCAGCGGGGAUGCGUGGGGACAAAGGCAUGGGGACAAAGGCAUGGGGACAAAGGCAUGGGGACAAAGGCAUGGGGACAAAGGCGCCCCGGCGGGACGGG
ensembl:lncRNA